rnacentral:tRNA from 1 species
GGGCCGCUAGCUCAGCGGUAGAGCACUACGUCGACAUCGUAGGGGUCACAAGUUCGAACCUUGUGCGGCCCACCA